rnacentral:rRNA from 1 species
CGAAAUGCGAUAAGUAGUGUGAAUUGCAGAAUUCAGUGAAUCAUCGAAUCUUUGAACGCACAUUGCGCCCUUUGGUAUUCCUUAGGGCAUGCCUGUUCGAGCGUCAUUUGAACCCUCAAGCUCUGCUUGGUGUUGGGCGCCUGUCCCGCCUCUGGCGUGGACUCGCCUCGAAGACAUUGGCGGUUGGUGCAUCGGCCGGAAGCGCAGCACAUAGCGCGACCCGCUCUUCACCCUCCCUCCAGGAAGCCAAACUCACACCUUGACCUCGGAUCAGGUAGGGAUACCCGCUGAACUUAAGCAUAUCAAUAAGCGGAGGAAAAGAAACCAACAGGGAUUGCCCUAGUAACGGCGAGUGAAGCGGCAACAGCUCAAAUUUGAAAUCUGGCCUCUUUGGGGUCCGAGUUGUAAUUUGCAGAGGGUGCUUUGGCGUUGGCAUCGGCCUAAGUUCCUUGGAACAGGGCGUCGCAGAGGGUGAGAACCCCGUACGUGGCCGCCUGCCUUCGCCGUGUAAAGCCCCUUCGACGAGUCGAGUUGUUUGGGAAUGCAGCUCUAAAUGGGAGGUAAAUUUCUUCUAAAGCUAAAUACUGGCCAGAGACCGAUAGCGCACAAGUAGAGUGAUCGAAAGAUGAAAAGCACUUUGGAAAGAGAGUCAAAAAGCACGUGAAAUUGUUGAAAGGGAAGCGCUUGCAUGCUAUCGA